GGAAUUCGAUGGCGGACGGGUGAGUAAUGCUUGGGAACUUGCCUUUGCGAGGGGGAUAACAGUUGGAAACGAAUGCUAAUACCGCAUAAUGUCUUCGGACCAAACGGGGCUUCGGCUCCGGCGCAAAGAGAGGCCCAAGUGAGAUUAGCUAGUUGGUAAGGUAACGGCUUACCAAGGCGACGAUCUCUAGCUGUUCUGAGAGGAAGAUCAGCCACACUGGGACUGAGACACGGCCCAGACUCCUACGGGAGGCAGCAGUGGGGAAUAUUGCACAAUGGGGGAAACCCUGAUGCAGCCAUGCCGCGUGUGUGAAGAAGGCCUUCGGGUUGUAAAGCACUUUCAGUUGUGAGGAAAAGUUAGUAGUUAAUACCUGCUAGCCGUGACGUUAACAACAGAAGAAGCACCGGCUAACUCCGUGCCAGCAGCCGCGGUAAUACGGAGGGUGCGAGCGUUAAUCGGAAUUACUGGGCGUAAAGCGCACGCAGGCGGUUUGUUAAGCUAGAUGUGAAAGCCCCGGGCUCAACCUGGGAUGGUCAUUUAGAACUGGCAGACUAGAGUCUUGGAGAGGGGAGUGGAAUUCCAGGUGUAGCGGUGAAAUGCGUAGAUAUCUGGAGGAACAUCAGUGGCGAAGGCGACUCCCUGGCCAAAGACUGACGCUCAUGUGCGAAAGUGUGGGUAGCGAACAGGAUUAGAUACCCUGGUAGUCCACACCGUAAACGCUGUCUACUAGCUGUGUGUGCCUUUGAGGCGUGCGUAGCGAAGCUAACGCGCUAAGUAGACC
rnacentral:rRNA from 1 species